GGAGGAGAUCAACAGGGAUUGCCUUAGUAACGGCGAGUGAAGCGGCAACAGCUCAAAUUUGAAAUCUGGCUCUUUUAGAGUCCGAGUUGUAAUUUGCAGAGGGCGCUUUGGCGUUGGCAGCGGUCCAAGUUCCUUGGAACAGGACGUCACAGAGGGUGAGAAUCCCGUACGUGGUCGCUAGCCAUCACCGUGUAAAGCCCCUUCGACGAGUCGAGUUGUUUGGGAAUGCAGCUCUAAAUGGGAGGUAAAUUUCUUCUAAAGCUAAAUACUGGCCAGAGACCGAUAGCGCACAAGUAGAGUGAUCGAAAGAUGAAAAGCACUUUGGAAAGAGAGUCAAAUAGCACGUGAAAUUGUUGAAAGGGAAGCGCUUGCAGCCAGACUUGCCUGUAGUUGCUCAUCCGGGCUUUUGCCCGGUGCACUCUUCUGCGGGCAGGCCAGCAUCAGUUUGGGCGGUUGGAUAAAGGUCUCUGUCAUGUACCUCUCUUCGGGGAGAACUUAUAGGGGAGACGACAUACAACCAGCCUGGACUGAGGUCCGCGCAUUUGCUAGGAUGCUGGCGUAAUGGCUGUAAGCGGCCCGUCUUGAAACACGGACCAAGGAGUCUAACAUCUAUGCGAGUGUUUGGGUGUCAAGCCCGAGCGCGUAAUGAAAGUGAACGGAGGUGGGACCCCUUUUAGGGUGCACCAUCGACCGAUCCUGAUGUCUUCGGAUGGAUUUGAGUAAGAGCAUGGCUGUUGGGACCCGAAAGAUGGUGAACUAUGCUUGAAUAGGGUGAAGCCAGAGGAAACUCUGGUGGAGGCUCGCAGCGGUUCUGACGUGCAAAUCGAUCGU
rnacentral:rRNA from 1 species